AUGAAAUUUCUUCUGUUAAAGUUCCUACCAGGAGUGUGCAGACCAGGUUCUCACAAGUCUCAACUUCAAUCUUACCUGAAGGCGCCUGGGAUGGGUCACACCCUUUGCCUCCUCUCUCUGGAUGGCAUUUCUAAGUCACACCAGGUGAGCAGUUGCUUUUCCACAUCACCGGGCCAAGUUGUAUUUUCUCAAUUGUUGUCCUGCUGGACCACAGUGGCAUACCAGGUCCUAUUAACAAAGUGGAGAAAGCAGAGAUGUAAAAGUUGCACUGGCUUUUUAAGACUGCCGAACUAACUGCUUCAGGGGGGACCUUGUUUCCAGCCAUGAACUUAUGAACUGAGGAUUUUAUGAAAUCCAAUCCUCAUUGUUAUUAUAGCAUAAUCCUCUUUCAGUUAUCCACCCAAUUUCUCUGUAACAGUUUUACUUCUUCCUUCCUUUUCCUGUCAGGGGCUCUGGGCAUUGAGGCUUGGGAUACCCAUCUCCUGAGCCCUUCUUCCUGGGAAGAUGCCAGGGGCCAAAGCCAGGUGGACGCCAGCUCAGCCUCUACACUCUCAGUCCCAACUGGGUGUGAUCACUGCAGAGCUCCUCUGGGGUGGAGAGAAAGAAGAAAUAAAAGAGCCCUUCUUUAUAUAAAAUUGGAUUUU
rnacentral:lncRNA from 1 species